UACAGAGGUCUCAAGCGUUGUUCGGAUUCAUUGGGCGUAAAGGGUGCGUAGGCGGCGCGGUAAGUCGGGUGUGAAAUCUUGGAGCUUAACUCCGAAACUGCAUUCGAUACUGCCGUGCUUGAGGACUGGAGAGGAGACUGGAAUUUACGGUGUAGCGGUGAAAUGCGUAGAUAUCGAGAGGAACACCUGCGGCGAAGGCGGGUUGCUGGGCUGACACUGACGCUGAUGCGCGAAAGCCAGGGGAGCGAACGGG
rnacentral:rRNA from 1 species